CGGACCCUCCAGGGAACGCCCUUGAGUAACUCGCGCACUUGGGACCCCGUUUCCACCCAGGACCACAGGCUCAAGAUGGCCUGGUAGAUGCAGCCGGCACGCGCCUCUCCUCCGACGGGAACAGAAGGAGCCGGUAGGUUUUCACACUUGCAGCAGAUCCGCUAAGAGAACGAGGGAUUUAGCUGAGAAGCCACUGGGAGCCCGAGGAGUGGAGCAGAGGUACCCAGGCAGCCUGCGCGCAGAAAUCGGAUCGGCGGGGACGGCCUGCAGCCCCCGCUCGCGGGGAAAGGGACCAUAGGCUCAAGAUGGCCUGGUAGAUGCAGCCGGCACGCGCCUCUCCUCUGGCGGGAACCGAAGGCGCCGGUAGGUUUUCACACUUGCAGCCGAUCGGCUAAGAGAACGCGGGAUUCAGCCGAGAAGCCACUGGGAGCCCGAGGAGCGGAGCAGAGGCACCCAGGCAGCCUGCGCGGAGAAAUCGAAUCGGCUGGGACGGCCUGCAGCCCCUGCGCACGGGGAAAGGGAAGAAGUCCUCCCCUACAAAGCGAGUUCACAAACUUGGAAGAAGCCACUUUCACAGGAUGCACAGAUCUCAACGGAAGGACACAGAAAACAUGAAAAAGCAAGGAAAUGGGGCGCCUCCAAAGGAACCCAGUAAUUCUCCAGCAGCAGAUCCCCAUCCAAAAGAAACAGAAGAUAUUUUGGAGAGAGAAUUGAACAUACAUAUUAUACAGUUGAUGGGCAUAAUACAAGCAUCAUUUGGAAAAGAACAGAGAAAAAAGAUGGAAGGAGUUACCGUUCUGCAGGAAAAAAUUAUCAACUCCAGUGAUAUUAUUAAAUACAACCUAAUGACACUUCUGAAGCUGAAGAAAUCACUGGAUGAAAUACAAAGUAAACUCAAAAGCUUCAGUGAUAGACUAGAACAAGUAGAAGAAAGACUCUCAAAACUUGAAAUCUGAAGCAUGUUUCUUAAAGAUUUAAUGGGUUAUUAUACUCUGGCCAUUAAUGUCAACGAAAUCUGCUGGGUUAAUUCUUAACUGGGGUCUUGGAUAAUCAUUAAAAUGAAAUGAGAAUAAUUUCUUUUUGAGAUGA